UGGUCAAUUGGCGAAAGCCAGAACCAGUCAUGCCGCGUGCAGGAUGAAGGCCCUACGGGUCGUAAACUGCUUUUAUUCGGGAAGAAAAAGUCUGUUUCCACAGACCUUGACGGUACCGAUUGAAUAAGGACCGGCCAACUCCGUGCCAGCAGCCGCGGUAAUACGGAGGGUCCAAGCGUUAUCCGGAUUCACUGGGUUUAAAGGGUGCGCAGGCGGCCAAGUAAGUCAGUGGUGAAAGCCUUCGGCUCAACCGGAGAAUUGCCAUUGAAACUACUUGGCUUGAGUGCAGCAGAGGUAGGCGGAAUGUAGCAUGUAGCGGUGAAAUGCAUAGAUAUGCUACAGAACACCGAUAGCGAAAGCAGCUUACCACACUGUAACUGACGCUGAGGC
rnacentral:rRNA from 1 species